rnacentral:rRNA from 1 species
AUACGGAGGGUGCAAGCGUUAUUCGGAAUCACUGGGCGUAAAGGACGCGUAGGCGGGUUGGCAAGUCAGAUGUGAAAUCCUACAGCUUAACUGUAGAACUGCAUUUGAAACUGCCAACCUAGAGUAUGGGAGGGGGAGAUGGAAUUAGUGGUGUAGGGGUAAAAUCCGUAGAUAUCACUAGGAAUACCGAAAGCGAAGGCGAUCUCCUGGAACAUAACUGACGCUAAGGCGUGAAAGCGUGGGGAGCAAACAGGAUUAGAAACCCCAGUAGUCC